UGCAGUCGAACGGCAGCGGGGGUGCUUGCACCUGCCGGCGAGUGGCGAACGGGUGAGUAAUGCAUCGGAACGUACCCAGUCGUGGGGGAUAACGCAGCGAAAGCUGUGCUAAUACCGCAUACGUCCUGAGGGAGAAAGCAGGGGAUCUUCGGACCUUGUGCGAUUGGAGCGGCCGAUGUCAGAUUAGCUAGUUGGUGAGGUAAAAGCUCACCAAGGCGACGAUCUGUAGCUGGUCUGAGAGGAUGAUCAGCCACACUGGAACUGAGACACGGUCCAGACUCCUACGGGAGGCAGCAGUGGGGAAUUUUGGACAAUGGGGGCAACCCUGAUCCAGCCAUGCCGCGUGAGUGAAGAAGGCCUUCGGGUUGUAAAGCUCUUUCAGCCGGGAAGAAAUCGUGCAGGCUAAUACCCUGUAUGGAUGACGGUACCGGAAUAAGAAGCACCGGCUAACUACGUGCCAGCAGCCGCGGUAAUACGUAGGGUGCGAGCGUUAAUCGGAAUUACUGGGCGUAAAGCGUGCGCAGGCGGUUUUGUAAGACAGGCGUGAAAUCCCCGGGCUCAACCUGGGAACUGCGCUUGUGACUGCAAGACUAGAGUACGGCAGA
rnacentral:rRNA from 1 species